rnacentral:rRNA from 1 species
AUUGAACGCUGGCGGCAGGCUUAACACAUGCAAGUCGAGCGGGGUGAUGGUGCUUGCACUAUCACUUAGCGGCGGACGGGUGAGUAAUGCUUAGGAAUCUGCCUAUUAGUGGGGGACAACAUCUCGAAAGGGAUGCUAAUACCGCAUACGUCCUACGGGAGAAAGCAGGGGAUCACUUGUGACCUUGCGCUAACAGAUGAGCCUAAGUCGGAUUAGCUAGUUGGUGGGGUAAAGGCCUACCAAGGCGACGAUCUGUAGCGGGUCUGAGAGGAUGAUCCGCCACACUGGGACUGAAACACGGCCCAGACUCCUACGGGAGGCAGCAGUGGGGAAUAUUGGACAAUGGGGGGAACCCUGAUCCAGCCAUGCCGCGUGUGUGAAGAAGGCCUUAUGGUUGUAAAGCACUUUAAGCGAGGAGGAGGCUCUUUUGGUUAAUACCCAAGAUGAGUGGACGUUACUCGCAGAAUAAGCACCGGCUAACUCUGUGCCAGCAGCCGCCGUAA